UUGCACAGUUCCUUCUCAGUCGACAGUUUCUUCUGCUCUCAAAAAGUAUCAAAAAGUAUUGGAAGAGGUGCAGCAUCCACAUCCCAAGAUGUUCCUGACAUCACUGAAGAUGUAAUCUAAGCUUCAGAAGAAACUCCUGUCCCCACAUCUUCUAUUGAAAGGGAAAACGUUGAUGCUGCUGCUGAGGCUCCAAGAGGGGUGUGUAUGAAAGAGGAGCCCACCCACUGGAUCCAAAAUUCCACCAACCCCAAAUCCAAUUGGUUCAGCUGAAUGGCCAACCAUAUUGUCUGAUCUUGUAAGAAUGGAUUUGGUGCAGAGAGGUCCUUUUCAGACUGAUAAAGACUUUGAAUUUUCCAAAAUCACCUUCAUUCCGCUGUUGUGUUCUUUAUUUUGGAUUGUUUUAUUGUUAUUUGAUUUGCUAUUAAGUUGCUGUUUUUAAUAAGUUGGAGUUUUGUGAAUGU